GUUGCUUCAAUGACGCAUUCUCUAUUCCGUAGCUUUUUUCCGCAUCAUGUGAUUUCAUUCUUAUGCAAGAGUCUGUGCUCCCCGUCUUAUUAUGUACUAAUAUGUACCAAUUUAUGCACCAGUUCAUUUUCCUUUUCUCUUCAAAAGAGAGUGAUGCAAAAGUUUAGCCACAAAGAACUGGCCCUAAUAAUAGGUCUUGUUUGUGUUGCAUUUUUGGCACUCGAUAUCUUCGCUUUCUUUUUUUUUUAAGGCAAAAUAUGUAUUUAUCCCAUUUUAAGUGCAAAAAUAUUUGGGGAUUUUAUGCAACACAAAUAGACCUAAUACCAAUAUGUAACAAUAAAUACUAAGCGCUUAUUGGACUACAGACAAUUAGGUCAAAAAUAGCGGUGAAAUAGUCAAUAGGAAGGCUGUCGGCAAGAUAAAGAAAUGCACUACUUUAGUAAUAUAGAACUUUAAACAGUUGGACUGCGUUCAGGAAUUACGUCCAGAUAACUCUAAUGCGAUGGCCCUUGAGGGUGUUAAAGCAAUGUGAUUUCUGUCCAGUGCUCUGAAUGUCAACGUGAAGAAAUUCAAGCAAGCGCGGGAAUAACUAUGACUCUCUUAAGGUAGCCAAAUGCCUCGUCAUCUAAUUAGUGACGCGCAUGAAUGGAUUAACAAGAUUUCCGCUGUCCCUAUUUACUGGG
rnacentral:ncRNA from 1 species